rnacentral:rRNA from 1 species
CACGUAGUUAGCCGGGGCUUCUUAUUUGGGUACCGUCAUUUCUUUCUUCCCUAUUGAUAGAAGUUUACAAUCCGAAAACCGUCUUCCUUCACGCGGCGUUGCUGCAUCAGGCUUUCGCCCAUUGUGCAAUAUUCCCCACUGCUGCCUCCCGUAGGAGUUUGGGCCGUGUCUCAGUCCCAAUGUGGCCGGUCACCCUCUCAGGUCGGCUACUGAUCGUUGCCUUGGUGGGCUAUUAUCUCACCAACUAGCUAAUCAGAUGCGGGCCCAUCUUUUACCGAAUAAAUCCUUUCUUUCUUAGAAGAUGCCUUCCAAGAACCGUAUGCGGUAUUAGUCGUCGUUUCCAACGAUUAUUCCACAGUAAAAGGCAGGUUACCCACACGUUACUCACCCGUCCGCCGCUAAAAUAUCAAAAGCAAAGCUCUCAAUUAUUUCGCUCGACUUGCAUGUGUUAAGCACGCCGCAGCGUUCAUCCUGAGCCAGAUCAAACUCU